ensembl:lncRNA
ACCCGACCCCACCCACCCAAGGGCGCUGGACCUGAGUUCUGGCCUCAGCCUUUGCCCGGGGCCCAGCUGUCAGACAUUAGUUCUCCUCAGGACCGGCCAGUGCUUUGGCUCCGGGAAAAUGCAGGGCUCUGUCCACUCGCAGGGUGGCUGGGUUUCCUCAGGUCCUGCUGGGAGGGGCCCCCAGGGAGAAAAGCGAUGAGGAAACAGUGCGGGGGAUGCUGCCUGCUGGGGGCUGCCUGCAGGAUGAGGGAGGUCCGUCCUGGAGGGCCCAGCAGAGGAAGAGCUGGGGGAGGAAAAUUCUGACUUGGAGUUAGUCCUGUGCAUGGCGUGGAAGGAGCCCUGUUCUGGUUUUGGUUUUCACAGUUGUGAUAUUCCGUUUCCCAGGUUUUUUCUUAGGGUGACGGUCCUUUCACUGCCAUAGAUCCAUCAUCUAAGACGACUCGGCCUGCUCUGCGCGGGAGCGGGUGCGGCCUGCAUUCUCCCAGUUGGCCGGCAGAGGGCGACAAGCCGCCUCUUCCCAGGGCGGGCCCCGCGUGUUUGGGCCGCAGGCUUGGUCCAGGGCACAGCUGACAGGCAUUAGGUCUCCUCGGGGCGGGCCAGUGCUUUGGCUUUGGGAAAAUGCAGGAGUCUGUCCUUUGGGAAGGCAGCUAAGCUUCCUCAGGACCUGCUGGGAGGCGCCUCCCUGGGAGGAAAACUUGAGGAAACUGUGGGGAGAUGCUGCUGGCUGGGGGCUGCCGGCAGGAGAAGGGAGGAGGUGCAAAUGCCCACAACCAGCACAAGAACGCUAGGGGAGAAAAUUGACUUGGAGUUAGCCUUGUGUGCGGUGCGGAAGGAGCUGUGUUUUGGGCUUGUUUUUUUUUUUUUUGGCGGGGGGUGGGUUGUGGUGUUUCGCUUUCUGGGUUUCAUCUUAGACUGAUGGCGCUUUAAUGGAGGUCUCUCCAGUUUGCUGUUAAAAGAAUGGACCACAUGUCUGUUGCUUCCUCGAGUGCCUUGAUGCCUCUUUUUCGACCCAUGAGUAUAUUCCUGGAAUAUCCUUUCAAUUCCAAUCAUCUUCAAAAGGCCUGACUUUGCUACUCUGAGUCCCGGUUCCGGUACUCAUACGUCCCGGCUCUGGUCCACACAGAGGCCUGGCUCCGGACCUCAACGCUGAGAGCUGGCUCUGCUCCUCACUGAAGUCCAGCUGCACCCCUGCCUGAGUCUCGGCUCAGCUCAGCACGCCAGGUCCUCUCCGCACUGAGACCCGGCAAGGCUCUGCCCCUCACUGGGCCUGGCUGUGGUCCUCGGUGAGGCCUGGCCCCACUGCGCAAUCACGUGUGCCUCCCUUGCUCCCUGAGGUCCGGCUCCCUCCUCGGUGAGGACAGCUCUGCUCCACACGGGCCUGGUUACGGUCCUCACAGAGGCCAGGCUGUCUUCUCACUGCAGUUCAGCUGUGCUCCUCCUUGAGGCAUGACUUUGCUCCUCUGAGGCCUGGCUCUGCUCUCCACUGAGAACCAGCUCCAGUCCACAAUGAGGACCGGCUCUGGUCCCCACUGAGGCCUGUCUCCCGUCCUCACUGAGGUUCCACUCCGGUCCUGUGAUGUGCUCUGGGGCCCGGGUAGGGUCCGCACUGAGGCCAGGCUCCGCUCGGCUCCGCUCCGUGAGACCCAGCUCCUCCUGCAGAGGCCUGGCUCCGCUCAGCACUGCCGCACAGCUCCGCCCUGCAAUGGGCCUGGCUGUGGUUCUCGGUGAGGCCACGGUAUCGUCCUCAGUGAAGCACAGCUCCAGUCCACGCUCAGGUCCUUAGUGAGCCCCGGCUCUGGUCCUCACAGAGAUUUGGCUUGCUUCUAACCGAGGUUUGGUUCACCUCCGUGAGGCCUGACUGCUACUCUGAGGCCAGGCUCCCCUCCUCACUUGGGGCCAGCGCCACUCCUCAGGUAGGCCUGGCUCUGCUCCGCACCGGGGCCUGGCUCCAGCACUGAGUCCUGCUCUGGGCCUCACUGAGAUUCAGCUCCAGCACUGAGUCCUGCUCUGGGCCUCACUGUGGUUCAGCUACCCUCCUCACUGAAGCCCAACGUUCCUUCACUGAGAGUGAAGGUUCACCUCCACUCUUCACUCAGGCCCAGCCUGGUCCUCCUUGAGGACGGAAUUUGGUUCUCUGAGGCAAGACUCCAUUCUACACUGAGGCCCAGCUACACUCCACAUAGAGACUGGACUCGGGUCCUCUCUGAGGUCUGGCUCUGCUCCUCAGUGAGACCCAGCUUCUCUCUGACUGAGGACUGGCUCCACCCACACUGGGGUCUGGCUAGGGUUCUCACUGAGCCCAGCUGGCUUCUCACUGAGGUUCUCUUCUCCCUCUUCCUGAGGAUUGACUUGACUACUCUGAGUCCCGGCUCUGGACCUCACUGAGGCCAGGCUCCACUCCACACCGGGGCAUGGCUACAACCUCAGUGAGUUCCGGCUCGCUUCUCACUGAGGUUCCAUUCUCUUCCUGAGGCCUGACUUUGCUACUCUGAGUCCUGGCUGUAAGGCGAGCAUGGAGAAAAGGAGAGUGAGCCGGACAGUCAGGCAGAGAAAUAUUUAUUAUAGGAAGAAAGAAAGUGGUUUUAGAGAGAAACCAGUGCUCUCUUGUUACAGCCAACCCUUCUUAUACCGUAUCGAUGGGAAAUUGUGCCCCAGAGGGGUUUAUCCUUAGCCCACAGCUGGAGUCCUGUGGUCACAUAGUCAAAGGGGUCUCAUGGUCGGGUGGUCAUGUAGUCUUGAGAAACUGGCACCAGCAGGGAAAAACAGGGUAUCGCCUUAAGGAAAAAACAGAAAGCCGUCAGGGCAACGUGGCCACCGCGAUUUCACCCCUUGUGUCAGGUUACCACCAUGGGCCAUAUUUUAACUACAGCUAUGAGCCCCUUGAGAGCCCUAACACUGGCUCUGGUCCUCAACAAGGUCCAGCUCCUCUCCUCACUGAGGCCUGGCUCACUUCUCACCACGGUUCACCUCUGAUCCUCCCUGAGACCUGACUUUGCUUCUCUGAGGCCCAGCUCUGGUCCUCCUCGAUGCCAGACUUUGCUUCUCUGAGGCAAGGCUCCAUUCUGCACUGAGGCCUGGCUCCACUCCACACAGAGGAUGGCUCCAGUGCUCAGUGAGACCGGCUCCUCUCUGCCCUGCACUGGGGCCCGGCUAUGGUCCUCAGUGAAGCCCGGCUCCACGCCUCACUGAGGGUCGGCUCUUGUCCCCAGGGAGGCCAGGCUUCGGUCCACACAGAACCUGGCUCACUUCUCACUGAGGUUCUGUUCUCCUCCUCCCUGAGGCCUGAAUUUACUUCCCUGAGGCCUGGCUCCUCUAGGGACUGAGAACCGGCUCCGCUCUCCACCGAGGCUCCUAUCCGCUCCUCACUGGGACCCACCUCCCUCAGCACUGAGGCCCGGGCCUCACAGAGGCCAGGCUCGCUUCUCACUACCUUUCACCUGCUUCUCCCUGAGGCCUGACUGCUUCACCGAGUCCCGUCUCCGCUACUCAGGAAGGUUCGGCUCUGGUCCUCCCUGAGGCCCAGGUCACACGUUACAGAGGCUCAUCUCUGCUCCUCCCUGAGGCCCGACUUCGCCUGUCUUCAGCCCGGCUCCGCUCCACAAUGAGGCCCGGCUCUGCUCCUCACCGAGGCCCAGUCUGGUCCUAAGGCUCGCCUCCGGCCUUCACUGAGUCCUCGCUCUGCUCCUCGCUUAGGCCCAACUUUGCUUCUCUGAGGCCUGGCUUGCUUCUCACUGAGGUUCAGCUCUGCCCCUCUGAGUCCAGACUUUGCUACUCUGAGGCCCUGCUCCGCCCCACUCCACACUGAGGCCUGGCUCACUUCUCACUGAGGUUCCGCUCUCCUCCUUGAAGCCUGACUCUGCUUCUCUGAGGCAAGUCUCCGCCCCUCACAGAGGCCCAGCUGUACUUCCCUGAGGCCCUGCUCCACUCGUCGGUAUGGCCCGGCUCUGCUCCUCACUGAUUCCCAGCUCUGGUCCUCAUUCUGACCUGAUUCUGUUCGUCUCUCAGACCUGACUAUAACAGGAGUCUCCAUCAAUAUGGAACUUAAAACCACAACCUUCACAUACUUUAAAAUUGUUAUAUUAAAAAUAAAGGUAAUUUUUGGCAACAAUGUAUAGAAAUUGGAACUUUUAAAUGUUAGUUGUCGAAAUGUGAUAUGGCUCAAUCUACUUACGUAAAACUUUGGCAUCUUAUAAAAAAUAUAAAAAUGCAGUUAUCAUCAGUUUCAAAAAGUCUGCUCUUACAUAUAUACCCAAAGAAUUUUAAAUAACUGUUGAAAUAAAACUUGUAUACCAACACUCACAGCAGCGCUGCUCUCGAUGCCCCUCUGAAAGAAGAAUCAAAACGCCCAUCAUUGGGUUAUGGGAUAAGGAAAGUAGGGUAGCUCCGUUAGGUGCGUUAUUUUACCAUAUAAGGAGCAGAAUCUGUGGACAUCAGUGGGUGGGGUCCUCAAACACUGAAACAUGAAGUUAACGUAUAACGCCUGGAUUUGCCUACGGCCAUGCCACCCUGAUCACACCUGAUCUCGACUGACCUCUUAAGCUAAGCAGGGUCUGACCUGGUUAGUACUUGGAUGGAAGAAUCCCUCAAUUCCACUCCAGGCUGUGCCCGCAAAUAUUUAAAAGCAAGGACUGGAACAGGUAUUUGUACCCCAUAUUCACAGCAGCCAAAAGGUGAAAUCAAAACAUGUGUCCUUCAGC